GUUGAUUGGGAAACUCGUCAAAUUUACAUGAAAUACCGAGACAAUCUCAGUCGCCCGAUGGCGGGCCCCAGCCGGAAACGGAUGCCUGUGUGCCGGGGGAUUACAAAGGACGGCGAGAGCUCAAAUCCUGUCUUAUCGGAGUUUCAUCGCAUCCUUUGAUGUGG
rnacentral:sRNA from 1 species